AUAGAUACCCCGGUAGUCCACGCCCUAAACGAUGCGAACUGGAUGUUGGGUACAUUACGGUACUCAGUGUCGAAGCUAACGCGUUAAGUUCGCCGCCUGGGGAGUACGGUCGCAAGACUGAAACUCAAAGGAAUUGACGGGGGCCCGCACAAGCGGUGGAGUAUGUGGUUUAAUUCGAUGCAACGCGAAGAACCUUACCUGGCCUUGACAUCUGUCGAAUCCUGCAGAGAUGCGGGAGUGCCGCAAGGAACGACAAGACAGGUGCUGCAUGGCUGUCGUCAGCUCGUGUCGUGAGAUGUUGGGUUAAGUCCCGCAACGAGCGCAACCCUUGUCCCUAGUUGCCAACACGUAAUGGUGGGAACUCUAGGGAGACUGCCGGUGACAAACCGGAGGAAGGUGGGGAUGACGUCAAGUCCUCAUGGCCCUUACGGCCAGGGGCUACACACGUACUACAAUGGUCGGUACAGAGGGUUGCGAAGCCGCGAGGUGGAGCCAAUCCCAGAAAGCCGAUCCCAGUCCGGAUUGGAGUCUGCAACUCGACU
rnacentral:rRNA from 1 species